GCGGCUCCGGCAGCGCCGAGCGCCGGGGAACGGGGCUGGGGGGCAGCGGCGGCACCGCCCGGGGACUGGGGUUGGGGUUGAGGGGCAGCGGGGGCACCGCCCGGCUGCGGGCACUCGGGUUGCGCGGGGCCGGGGCUGCUCUGCCGAGCCUGGCGCUGCGGGGCUGGCACACCCCGGCCUGCACCCUGCUCGCCUUUGAGUCUUCGGCUUCUCUGUGGAUUCUCCAGUGACUUUUCUGACCUUUCGGUUAAGGCCGUGGUACCUCAGUGCGGUCGGUUUGCAUUCUGUUGGGUUCCCCGGCAGGUAGGGCCGGGAGCCCUGUUGAAGUCAUUACUGGAGCAUUUCUGGCUUCCAGUAGGAAAAUUCUGUGUUGAUCCACCAGAAGAAGAGUGGCUGGCGGCACAGGUGGUUCAUGCCAAGUGACUGGGGAAACGUGAAAUCCAUUAGGAUUAGGAGAAAUGACAGUGGCUGCAGGAAAGGUGUGAUUUCUCACAGCAGCCUCCCAGUUUUGGUGGUAAAUGUGGCAGUGGUGGCUCUUUGGGUCUGAAUGUCCCUAUCUCUGGUUUGUCCCAGUGCCCUUGCUGAUCUGUGCUGGUGGUGGCUGCUCUCGUGUGCAGCCAGUGUGUGUGUGGCCCGGUUUGGAGCUGAAUUCUGACCCAGCGGGAUGUGCUGACUGCCACAGGAUGAGUCCUGUGCUUCUCUCCACCACAUUACAUCAGUCUGAGCUGUUCUGGAGUCUCACCACCCUUGCAGAUUUAGCAUCGCUUAGUAUUGCCUCAUCAGGCAGCAGUGUUGGUGAGAAUUUUGCAAAAGCAAAUCUCAUCUAAAAUCCUUCUUCGUUUUGCAAACCACUUCUCAUCCACCUCAAUCACAUUGCGCAGCUCCUCUGUGGCACGGCUGUAGAAAAUCAGCCGGGAAAGUGGUACUGGGUGUGCAUCAGGUAUAUGGUAUUCAUAGCUGCUUCUAAGCACGUUGAACAGCAAAAGGUGCAGAAAAUAAGCUGUGCAGGAGGGUUGGGCAAGUCCUGUGUGUCCCCAGCAAGUGCCGCAAGGAGCCUGUGGGGGCUGAGCUGUGGGUGGGCAGCAGGGCUCGCUGCCGCGGGUCUGCAAACAGCUGCUGGAGAGAAUGAAAGAGCAGGGAGGGACCAGGAACAGAGGAAUGAGUCUGAAAGCAUCAGCUCUGCUAUGGGAACGGCCAGCAUGGACAUCAAGGAAUGAUGGUGGCAAGCAAGUCAUUAGGAGAUCAUUUGAUGAGUGGUUUAAAUCCCACGUGUGGCUCUGGCAUGGAGAUCUGCUUUGCUGCUGCAGUGGCUUAGAGAUACCGAGGCAAUAGGGAAGAAAUUCCACGGGCUCUGUGGCUGCUGAUGUGAACUGUUCCCGUUGCACCAGGAGCCCCUUUGCUGGGAGACUGCCCGAGACUGUGGACCAGGGAAAACACCCAUGGGAAACGUGCUUGAGUUUGGGAAACAAGUCCUUGAGUUUGCUGCUGUUUUCGUCACAAAUGUAUCGCGUUGCGAUGGCAAAUGCAGACGCUACAUUUAAAAGCUGUUUGCUCCGCUGCUGCUUGCAGAAGGAGUAAUUUUUUCCCUUCAUCUCUUUGGCCGUGGUACUGCGCUGCUGCAGGAGUUCCUGCGUGUCUCCACGAGCCUCCCCCUUCCUCCCACCCUCCCCUGCUGCUGUGAAGAUUCAGGGCCAGGCCAGAGCUGGGGUGCUGCAGGCGCAAGUUCCUGUGGGUAGGAGGGGGGUUUUGCCUUUUGGGGCUCCUGUUCCCUCAGCCCUGGGCUGUGCUGGGUCUGUGUCCCCUCCCAGCCCUGGGCUGGGCAUCCUUUGUCCCCCAGAUGCCACCUGGCCCCCCUCUGGCCUUGUUCCAGUGCUGCAGCUCUGGGUUCUGGGCGGUUUGGGCCUGUUCAGUUCAAGCCCAGUUUGGAGCCGUUGGGCCCCCAGCACUGGCACCUAUGGAUGCCCCAACGGUCACCCGCGCUCCCGGCCGUGCCCCCCUGCUCCAGCUCCUCAGGAGCCUCUUUGGGCUCCUGCGGGGGACGCGGGAGCCCCACAUGGAGGGGCAGGAGCUGGGCGCUGUUGGGGACAGCAGCGGCCCGGGGGAGCUGGCGGGCCAGCAGCACCCGCACUGGGAGCCCUGGGAGGGGGAGAGCAUGGAGCCGCUGCUGGGGGAGCUCAGCCUCGCCGGCUCCCUGGGGAGCAGCUCCAGCAGAAGCUGUGUGACAUUGAGCACCAGUGACAUGGAGAUGGCAGUGGCCAGUGACGGGGGGGACAGUCCUGCCGGCAGCCCAGCCCGGCAGCGUGCAGGCCUGGCCGGUGAGGAGGGGACGGCUAUGCUGGAGACUUUCAGCAGCAAAGCUCUGGAGACUGAUGGGCUUCUUCAGGGUCCGGGUGCUGAUGGCGAAGAUGUUACCAGCAGUGCAAGCCCUGAGCUAAUGUUUUCUAUGGAUUUUGAUACUGAAUGGGAGAAAGAGCAGCUCCUGAAAGCAGAUGAGGCUGCAGGCUCCCCGAAAGCAGAGCUGUCCUCAUGGAACAGGCUCUUCAAUGUGAACCGGCUUCGGGGGAGUUCACACAAGUUAUUUUCUUCUGGUGCAGUACGGCGCCCCAGGGAGGCUGAUGGAGCCGGAAAGCAAGGAGCAGCCUCUCUCGGAUGCAGCAAACCCCAGCGCUGCCGCCCUGGGCGAGAGGUUUUCUGAAGACGGAGCAAGAGAAACCCACUGGCUGCCUUGGGAGAAGCUGGGAAUGGUGGGGAGCAGGCGGAGCAGGAACCCCUGGAGAAGGCUGAGGUCCAGCUCCCUGGAGCAGUGGGGAGCAGCCCCUGAGGGAUCCCCCCGCAGCCCCCCUGGAUCAGCGCCUCCUCUCCGCUCCCCACGCUGGCCUCAGCCAGGCUCAGGCCUGGCCCGAAGAGCUCCUCAGCUCCAUCUUCUUCCUCUUCAUUCUCCUACGUGCCCCUUUGAACACACCAUGUUUCCCUUUUUGCUUUCUCCUUUCCUGUUCCUGGGGAAGGACCCGUGGGUCUCCCGCCCCUGCCUGGCACAGCCUGCCUUUGGUUUGCAUUUUAUUUUAUUUUUUAGAUUAAGAACUUAGUGUGAAUAAAUUGUUCUCACUUCUCCCUCUGAUUGUUCACUUUCCCUUAUUAAACAGGUCUGUGUUGAAUUACUUAUUCUCCUUUCCCAGCCUGUUCACCCUCCAGCUUUUUCUUGUUCUCCCCAUCAGUUAUUCUCUGUGGCUUUUAAGGUUUUUAUUUAUUAGCUUCAGGGUAAGAGGAGACAGGUCUCUG